AUUGAACGCUGGCGGCAGGCCUAACACAUGCAAGUCGAACGAGUGGCGGACGGGUGAGUAAUGUCUGGGAAACAGCCUGAUGGAGGGGGAUAACUACUGGAAACGGUAGCUAAUACCGCAUACCAUCGGAUGUGCCCAGAUGGGAGUAGCUAGUAGGUGGGGUAAAGGCUCACCUAGGCGACGCUCCCUAGCUGGUCUGAGAGGAUGACCAGCCACACUGGAACUGAGACACGGUCCAGACUCCUACGGGAUGCACGAGUGGUGAAUAUUGCACGAUGGGCGCAAGCCUGAUGCAGCCAUGCCGCGUGUAGGAAGAAGGCCGUCGGGUUGUAAAGUACUUUCAGCGGGGAGGCGUUACCCGCAGAAGAAGCACCGGCUAACUCCGUGCCAGCCGCCGCGGUAAUUC
rnacentral:rRNA from 1 species